GCCUAGUUAGCUUGGAGGGUAGUGCGUCUGCCUUGUAAGCGCUAGGUCGUGGGUUCGAUUCCCGCCCGGGGCG
rnacentral:tRNA from 1 species